UACGGAGGGAGCGAGCGUUGUCCGAAGUUACUGGGCGUAAAGCGCGCGCAGGCGGUCGUUCAAGUCGCGUGUGAAAGCCCCCGGCUCAACUGGGGAGGGUCACGCGAUACUGAUCGACUCGAAGGCAGGAGAGGGUAGUGGAAUUCCCGGUGUAGUGGUGAAAUGCGUAGAUAUCGGGAGGAACACCAGUGGCGAAGGCGACUACCUGGCCUGUUCUUGACGCUGAGGCGCGAAAGCUAGGGGAGCAAACGGG
rnacentral:rRNA from 1 species